rnacentral:rRNA from 1 species
UGUAUUUAUUAGAUAAAAAACCAAUGCCCUUCGGGGCUCUUUGGUGAUUCAUGAUAACUUAACGGAUCGCAUGGCCUUGCGCCGGCGACGGUUCAUUCAAAUUUCUGCCCUAUCAACUUUCGAUGGUAAGGUAUUGGCUUACCAUGGUUUCAACGGGUAACGGGGAAUUAGGGUUCGAUUCCGGAGGGGGAGCCUGAGAAACGGCUACCACAUCCAAGGAAGGCAGCAGGCGCGCAAAUUACCCAAUCCCGACACGGGGAGGUAGUGACAAUAAAUACUGAUACAGGGCUCUUUUGGGUCUUGUAAUCGGAAUGAGUACAAUUUAAACCCCUUAACGAGGAACAAUUGGAGGGCAAGUCUGGUGCCAGCAGCCGCGGUAAUUUCAGCUCCAAUAGCGUAUAUUAAAGUUGUUGCAGUUAAAAAGCUCGUAGUUGAACCUUGGGCCUGGCUGGCCGGUCCGCCUCACCGCGUGUACUGGUCCGGCCGGGUCUUUCCUCCUGGGGAGCCGCAUGCCCUUCACUGGGUGUGUCGGGGAACCAGG